UACAGAGGUCUCAACCGUUGUUCGGAAUUACUGGGUGUAAAGGGUUCGUAGGCGGUGCGGCAAGUUGGGAGUGAAAUCUCUGGGCUUAACCCAGAGGCUGCUUCCAAAACUGCUGUGCUUGAGUGUGGGAGAGGCGCGUGGAAUUGCAGGUGUAGCGGUGAAAUGCGUAGAUAUCUGCAGGAACACCCGUGGCGAAAGCGGCGCGCUGGACCACUACUGACGCUGAGGAACGAAAGCUAGGGGAGCAAACAGG
rnacentral:rRNA from 1 species